rnacentral:rRNA from 1 species
GAUGAACGCUGGCGGCGUGCCUAAUACAUGCAAGUCGAGCGAAAAGACGAGGAGCUUGCUCCUCUGACGUUAGCGGCGGACGGGUGAGUAACACGUGGAUAACAUACCUAUAUGACUGGGAUAACUUCGGGAAACCGGAGCUAAUACCGGAUAAUAUAUUGAACCGCAUGGUUCAAUAGUGAAAGACGGUUUUGCUGUUUCUUAUAGAUGGUUCCGCGCCGCAUUAGCUAGUUGGUAAGGUAACGGCCUACCAAGGCAACGAUGCGUAGCCGACCUGAGAGGGUGAUCAGCCACACUGGAACUGAGACACGGUCCAGACUCCUACGGGAGGCAGCAGUGGGGAAUCUUCCACAAUGGGCGAAAGCCUGACGGAGCAACGCCGCGUGAGUGAUGAAGGUCUUCGGAUCGUAAAGCUCUGUUAUUAGGGAAGAACAAAUGUAUAAGAAUCUAUGCACGUCUUGACGGUACCUAAUCAGAAAGCCACGGCUAACUACGUG